GAAUUCUCAUCAAGACGGGCACUUUGACAUUUUUGUAUGUAUUUGGCCGUUUACGCGCAAUAAGGCAUAAUACAAAAUUCUGUAG